rnacentral:rRNA from 1 species
CAUUAUAGUAUAUCUAUAUCUAGGAUGUGGGGUGCUCUCGGGUACCCUCUCCGCCAAACCUUGCAAAUUUGAACUUAAUAGUUACCUUGGUAGGCUCAACUGCCUGUGGAUAAAUCUAAAUUCUUUAAUAAACUGGCUGUAAUUAAUGUAAAUGUCUGAAUAUAAUAUUAAUAUUAAAACUUUCAACAACGGAUCUCUUGGUUCUGGCAUCGAUGAAGAACGCAGCGAAAUGCGAUAAGUAGUGUGAAUUGCAGAAUUCAGUGAAUCAUCGAAUCUUUGAACGCACAUUGCGCCCCUCGGUAUCCCGGGGGGCAUGCCUGUUCGAGCGUCAUUUCUACCACUCAAGUUUAACUUGGUAUUGGGCAUCGUUAUGAAAAUUUUAACGUGCUUUAAAUGUAGACGGCAACAAUUCCCCAGCUUAGAGCGUAGCAGUAAAACAUUUUCGCUUUAAAAGCUGCUGGGUCUUGUUUACCGCAUAGUUUUUACUACAGUUUGAC